rnacentral:rRNA from 1 species
GCAAGUCGUCGGUAGAGUUAUAACGUCGAUCGGCCUUUGGGGGGUCUCUGCUUCCGGGAGGUAGAGUUCCUGAGCUGUACGGCGGCUUUCGACGUCGCUACUGUUUGUUUGGUCCCGGCGGCCGUGCCGGAGGACAGGGCAGAGGCCGGGGCCGCAUAUGACGCGUCGGCCGACCCGUUUUGCGCGGCGGAUGUCGAUUUCCCAACAGCUUCUGCUGGUGAGGACCGGUCUUGUUCUCGUUCUCGUAGUCCGGGCGACUUCUCGCAUCAUGAUGACCACCAUUUCGCUGUCAGCGGUUCCCGUACAGAUGAUUCCCCACUUACUAGGUGCACGGAUCCGUCGGAACACGCCUUCUUCUUGGUACACUUAGAAUCAAGUAGGUUCAGUAUACAGUCUAACUUAUUACGGUGUAGCUGAGACAUGACCUUCUUCGAGACGUCUAUAGCUCACAUCAAGCACUUUCACCAGUGCGCAUUUGUUCACCACCAAGUAAACAAGUACGUACAAGCUAAGAUAGAUAUAACAAUAACAUUAAAUAUGGCACCAGUAUUAUAUAUGUAUAUAUGAC